CCUACGGGCGGCAGCAGUGAGGAAUAUUGGUCAAUGGACGAGAGUCUGAACCAGCCAAGUAGCGUGAAGGAUGACUGCCCUAUGGGUUGUAAACUUCUUUUAUAAAGGAAUAAAACGAGGCACGUGUGCCUUUUUGCAUGUACUUUAUGAAUAAGGAUCGGCUAACUCCGUUCCAGCAGCCGCGGUAAUACGUAGGAUCCGAGCGUUAUCCGGAUUUAUUGGUGUGAAAGGGAGCGUAGAUGGGUUGUUAAGUCAGUUGUGAAAGUUUGCGGCUCAACCGUAAAAUUGCAAUUGAUACUGGCAGUCUUGAGUACAGUUGAGGUAAGCGGAAUUCGUGGUGUAGCAGUGAAAUGCUUAGAUAUCAAGAAGAACCCCGAUUGCGAAGGCAGCUUACUAAACUGUGACUGACAUUGAUGCUCGAAAGUGUGGGUAUCAAACAGGAUUAGAUACCCUUGUAGUC
rnacentral:rRNA from 1 species